rnacentral:rRNA from 1 species
UUCGAUUCUGGCUCAGGAUGAACGCUAGCUACAGGCUUAACACAUGCAAGUCGAGGGGCAGCAUUGGAGUAGCAAUACUUCAGAUGGCGACCGGCGCACGGGUGAGUAACACGUAUCCAACCUGCCGCUUACUCGGGGAUAGCCUUUCGAAAGAAAGAUUAAUACCCGAUGGUAUAAAGAGUUCGCAUGUUCUCUUUAUUAAAGAAUUUCGGUAAGCGAUGGGGAUGCGUUCCAUUAGAUAGUUGGCGGGGUAACGGCCCACCAAGUCUACGAUGGAUAGGGGUUCUGAGAGGAAGGUCCCCCACAUUGGAACUGAGACACGGUCCAAACUCCUACGGGAGGCAGCAGUGAGGAAUAUUGGUCAAUGGACGAGAGUCUGAACCAGCCAAAAGUAGCGUGAAGGAUGACUGCCCUAUGGGUUGUAAACUUCUUUUAUAAGGGAAUAAAGUGAGGGACGUGUCCCUUUUUGUAUGUACCUUAUGAAUAAGGAUCGGCUAACUCCGUGCCAGCCGCGGC